CAGAUUCACUGUGAUGAAAUGCAGAGGUAUUGGAUAAUCAGCGUGUAUCAAACAGCUUUGGAUUGUUUUACCUGCAUUCUGCCUGUUCCUUCCGCCUGUUUAUUUAUAACAUGUCUGCACUUCUGUGGGAUUCCAUGAAAAAAGUCAUAGUAGCAACAAAGAUUUCACUGGUCCCCCCAGUGUGCACCAAACUGCCCCUGGCUUGGAGUGCAGGAUGAACACCUUCCUGCAGUGCAGACAGCCCUGUCCUUGCAGAGUAUGGACUAGGGACAGAUUGCAGCUUUUUGGUGUAACCCUCACGAAGCUGAACUUUCCAGCAUUGAAACCAAGAGCCAAAGAAGCCCAGCAGAGGAAAGGAGGAGAAGAACACAUGAAAGGCUGUAAGGAGGAAUUGCAUUUCUCAAUGUCACGUAAGGAAAAGAAACAAACAUGCAGAAACAGCAACUGGCCCUCAAAUCUUUGAAGAUACACGUGUGUUUCCAAAGCUGAAGCAAUUUUCCUGCCAGAAAUCAUUGUGACCUAAACUUAGAACUCCUGUAUCAGUGCCCU
rnacentral:lncRNA from 1 species